rnacentral:rRNA from 1 species
GAUGAACGCUGGCGGCGUGCUUAACACAUGCAAGUCGAACGAACCUUCGGGUUAGUGGCGGACGGGUGAGUAACGCGUGAGAAUCUGCCCUCAGGAGGGGGAUAACGGCUGGAAACGGCCGCUAAUACCCCAUAUGCCGAGAGGUGAAAUGAAUUUCGCCUGAGGAUGAGCUCGCGUCUGAUUAGCUUGUUGGUGGGGUAAUGGCCUACCAAGGCGACGAUCAGUAGCUGGUCUGAGAGGAUGAUCAGCCACACUGGGACUGAGACACGGCCCAGACUCCUACGGGAGGCAGCAGUGGGGAAUUUUCCGCAAUGGGCGAAAGCCUGACGGAGCAACGCCGCGUGAGGGAUGAAGGCCUCUGGGCUGUAAACCUCUUUUUAUCAAGGAAGAAGAUCUGACGGUACUUGAUGAAUAAGCCACGGCUAAUUCCGUG